CUCCACUCGCGGCUAGGCCUGUGCGCAUCUCUAAGCUCCUUCCUCCUCCCUCCCGAUUCUGGAGCUACUCGCCCUCACACAUCCACUACAACAACGCAGCAUCCAUCCGCUGCAGCCCCUCCUCUCCUGCUCGCCCUCAUUCGCCUCCAUCAAGGAGGUGGAGCGCGGGCUCGGCUCACAUACAGAGGCCAAGAAUGAGGGAGGCCUGCGUGCCUGCGUGCACGUGAAGGGUCAGACAGCCUCAGGCCACCAGCCACGUUGCUACCAGCAUCGUCACUCUCUUGUGGGUGCGUACUGGAGGAGGGGCGCCGAUUCGAUGAGCGGGCGUUGCGUGUGCGCCGCCCCUCCCGCCCGCCGACCAUCACCGCUGAGCCGCAGUGGCGCACUGAUACACCUGCCGCAGAUUGCUUUCUUCGCUACCUCACGAUGCCGCCUCAGCCGCUUGCGCAGUGCCAGCGGUCGAAGCAGCCGUCGCCCACGGCCACAGAGACUAUGAUCACCUCCGAAUACAAGAUCGUCGAGAAGAUGGCGACGGGCUCCUUCGGCGUCGUCUUCAAAGUACGCAGAGUUACAGACCACCAGGUCUUCGUCAUGAAGCGCAUUCCGCUGCUCGGCUUGACGGCGCCGCAGCGCCGCGACGCUGCGCAGGAGAUCAUCCUCAUGCGCGACCUGCAUCACCCCUGCGUGGUGUCGCAACGGGAUGCCUUUCUAUACAACGAGCACGACCUGUGCCUUGUCAUGGACUAUUACGACGGUGGCGACAUGGACACCCACAUGGCGGCACAGCGCGAUCUGGACAUGUACUUUGAGCUCGAUCAGGUCAUGCUGUGGUUCGUGCAGCUGGUGCUCGGAGCGCAGUACCUGCACGCCCACAACGUCGUCCACCGUGAUAUCAAGAUACAUAACGUGUUCGUGCGGUCCAAGGACAUGUCCGUAGUCCUCGGCGACUUUGGCAUCUCCGAGCGUCUCGGCGUGGACUUGGCCAAUCACACGUGGGUCGCGGCAGCAACGAUGAGCGGUCCUCACGGAAGCGACGGCUCGUCCCUCACAUCCGUGCCAGCGAUGGUGACCGCGACUGCUGCUGGCUCGCCGUCACCGGCGCGGAUGAACCGCGGUGACGACGCGAUGCGGUCGCUCUCGAUCUCCGGCGGUCUCCGUCCGUCCACACCCGGCGGAGCAGGGGCUGGUGCACCAGUCCUGUCCCCGCUGCUUUACCAACAGACGGCAUGGUCCUCGGGCCAAUGGGGCGCGGGGUCGCAGCUCUGCUCCCCGAACUCGAGCCCGUACCAGCCGCUGUCGCACAUGCGACAGACAGGCGCGAGCAGCAACGCGGCCUCAUCGUGUUCGCUGCAGAGGCUGCUGAACGGCGGUGUGGAGGCAGCCAUGAAGGGCACGCCGCUCUACAUGGCGCCAGAGGUGCUCCAGGGCGGGGCGGCCAGCCCCAAGUCAGAUGUGUGGUCGCUGGGCUGCGUUCUCUACGAGCUGCUGGCCCUCCGUCACCCCUUCGAGUCGCGCGAUCUUGCGCCCUUGGUGAUGCGCGUCUUGCGAGGGCAGCGCGAGCCGCUCCCCGCGCAUUACCCUCGUCCGAUCGCCGACUUGAUCAACUGCAUGCUCUGCCUCGACGCCAGUCAGCGCCCCUCGUGCGAGGAGGUGCUGACGGUGCCGUGCGUGCGUGCCUACGUAGACCUGUGGCGCAGUCUGCGCACCCCUCUCGACGUCCCCGCCUCACCUGGCGAGUCUGCACUGAUGCGACAGCUGCAAGCGUGGCAGGCGAACGUCGCAGCGUGGAACGCACGCCACCCUGACGACCCGCGCAGCAAGUCAGUGCAUUACACCGAGCUGAAGCGCCAGCUGCUAAGCCCCGCCUGCGCGCCGGCCGAGGAGCGCGAGAAGGUGGAGCGGCGAGCGGUCGAAGCAGCGCGCACGGCUCUUCUCACAGCGCAACCAUCUGGGCUGACCUGCAGCAUCUCUUCGGCCGCCAUCAGCGGCGCCAUCCAAGGCGACGGUGGCGUCCACGACGGCACCUUCUUCUUCGGGGCCACUGGUGAAUGUCUCACCGGCGCGGCUGGCCGCCGCAGCAGCGAGCUGUCCAGCUUACCCUCCUCCAGGGAGGGUAUGAACAUGGGGCCCUCGGACAGCAUGCGUCCCUACAUGGUCUACGACGUUGCACCAGAGAUAGCCGCCACUGCUGCUGCCGAAGGGGCAGGACCGUCCUGCGCUGAAUCUGCAGCGAACAAGGCGCUGAACGGCCGUCCUCCAAGGCCAUCGCGCCGUCCGUCGGGGUCGCCCCCGCCGCAUCCGGUCCAAGGUGAAGACUUGACUGUCACCGGACACAACAUCGGCAAGGGUGGCGCUCGCGUCGGUUCGCUGCCGCAGGCGGCUAAUGCGGCUCGUAGCGAGGACUCCCCGAUGAUGAGCGCUGCGGCGAGGAAACGCCGGCACCCGCAGGCACGGCAGCUCGAGCCCGCCGCUCCUCAGCAGAGAGGUGAGUCGUCGCGUCACGACGACACGACUGAGCCGGAGCGUAAGCCGUUGACUGGAGUGGCGUCGCCGACGAUCGAUGGCGCUGCUGAGGCCCGAUCGACCACACCACCGGUGCCGUCGUCGAACUUUCCACUGAAGCCGGGCCUCCCGACAUCGCCGCCGCUGAUGCACAAGCGUGGCGCCACUCGGUGCGGCUCCAUUGAUGAGGAUGCGCUGUUCUUUCAAGCCUACGAGAACGUCGCCGACAUGCGCUUCGCCUCCCUCGACGAGAUCGCCCAGAGUGUCGUAGAUCUGCGCCAGCGCGUGCAGCAGCGCAUGCGGCACCAGCGCCUGCUUACGGACAUAGAGGUUCUACAUGAGCGGCACGGCUCUGCCCUCCUCCGCAGCAUGCCGCACGUCUUAAACGUGUUCGAGGCGGCCGCGGCAGCCGAGGACGGCGCGGAGGGGCCCCCUGGCAGGUCCGGUGGUGCCCAGUCUACCAUGUCGCCAGAGGAGGCGUACGCGCGCAUGGUGCAGCAGAUCGAUGAGCAACGCAGCGGGCAUGAGCAGCACCAGCUCGACCCCGACAAUGCGGAGAAGGUGGUCAGCAUCUUGCACUUGGGGCAGCUGCCGGUGGGCCGUCCAAUGCCGCCGCGCAUCCGACAGCUGCGUGAGUCCGCCGCACUGGCGCAGGUAGCGGCGAGCGAAGAGGCACGCCGUCGUUCACGGCUCCUUCCGAGAAGGUCGAAAGACAGGUCGUCAUCCACCACCAAACGCGGCGUCUCCUUCUCUGCUGCGGUGUCGAUGCAGUUUGCAGAUCCAGCUGCUCCCCUGAUGGCAUCCUCGACAGGCGGCGGUCGGUCGUCUUCACUGGCCACCGCAAUGGAACUGCGCCGGUGGCGCCCCUACCUCGAGCGCCGCAACCGCCUCUCCGCCGCGCUCACCCGCGUCUUCGACGCCACCACGCUGCGAGCGGUGUACUCCUACUACCGCACCUGCGCACUGCUGCAGCGGGACGCCGCGGUAGUGCGCCGACUCGUGCCGGACCGGCAGCAGUGGUCUGCGCUGCCGUCGAUUGAGGAGCUGGCGGUGCUCGACCGACGGCUAGAGGUAAUGUUUGAGGAUCGGCCGAGUUGGGAUGGGAGGCAGGGUGCAUGACCUGCUUGUGUGGCUGCCUCUCCGCCUCUUUGCCAGAGAGAAAGAGAGCCGGCACGGCAGCUGUGAGCUGCCUCCUUCGCCCUCUGCCACUUUCUCAUCGACUGCCGCCGCCGCCGCCGCCGCCGCUUGUGCCCGGCCCACGCGUCUCGGGCUUCUCCGUCCCCUCUCCCUCCCUUCCUCCUUUCCUCCCCUUCAGGUGCUUGCACACGCACACUCCUUUCACGAAGAACGAGCGCGCACACGUACCACCGCCGCCUGCGUCCGGUGAAGCGCCUCACGGCAGCUCCUUCCCGGCAUCCCCCCCUGCUCAGACCUUCUCUCAACACGUACACGCGCGCCCGUCUGUGCGUGCGUGUUGUGAUGGCGGCAGCCCUGCUGCUCCACCGUCCUCAUGCCCCGCGUCUCUCUCACUGUGUGUCCCCUCUCCUCUUCCUGGGACACAUGCAUCGCCGUGUACUGGCGUCUUCUCCCCGCCACGUUUCUCUCACCGGACGCGGAGGGCGGCCGAAGAGCAACGAACUCUCACAGACACGCGCAUAUCCGCGUGAUCUUCGCGUAGACUGGCAUGUCGGCGCUCCGUCGGGAUCGGCACAGCUCCACCUUCUCCGUGAAUGGUAGCGGCACCGUGCCGUCGCCGUGCCACCCAAGUGGUCACAGAACACCCACCGCCUUCCAACCGGCCCCGGUCAGGGUCUUCACCGUGGCGGUGUCUGAGGUGCCCGGCGAACAGCUGCAGUCGAGCGGCACGGCGCCCUCCGUCGCUAACCCCGUCGCGAGCCCGCUGGAUUUGGCGGGCGGCGCAGCGACCAAGAGCCGCCUGCCAGUGCUCCUUCUGGCUUGGAUGGGGGAGCCUGAAAGUGUUGUCGCGGACACUCCUCAGCACCUCCUGAGCUGCGCGCGCUUUUGUCAGUGCGGCAGGUGCUGACAGCAUCGGGUGCUGUGACACGGCGGGGUGGUGGCAGCGCGUUAUCUGCAGCAGCGGGAGGUGCGGUGGAUUUCCCGUUGGCGGCAGUGCAUGGGUUGGUGGCAUCCCCGCCUCGUUUGGUGAGGUCCGCUCGAGGAAGCCCCGUCGCUGAUGGCGGGUAGUCAGCCGUUGCAGAACGGAUGACGAGUGGCGAUGACCUCCCUGCAGCUGAGCGGCUCCUCCGCACAGGAUGGGCCAUGUAGGCAGCUCCAGCGGGUAUCUCUCCUCCGCGGUUCACUCGUCGCAAGCUCGAUCCACGCCUCCAGCAGAGGAUGCCGAGGCAGGCGGCAGCGCUGCGGACGACCUCAGCGCCGCCUGUACCGUUGCUGGAGGCGUGGAUGGAGAACUGCUGGCUGCUUCUGUAUGCACAUGGUUUUGCGGUAGUGGUGACGCUCUCGGUGGGGCCCGCGACAGUCGCUCUGCGGACAGUCCUGCUGACGGUGCGAGAAGGGGGCCUAUGACAAGAUGAUGCUGUCGAUGGCGGAUGCCACGCCAGCCGCCACGACUGUGCUGCUGCCAGUGAGGGGAGUGAUAGCGAGGAGGUGCCAGCCUGCCCAGCAAGCCAAGGAGGUGGGGUGUGCGGAUGUCGCCGUUACCCGCACGAGCACCGACGCCGCACCUCUCGGCCUUGCCGUCACGUGUCCUCCUGCGCUGCUGCCGGAGGUCGCUGCUGCUGUGGCGGCGCAGCCACCGGUGGUGAGCGACUUUGAUGCAGUCGAGGUGUGGUGUGCCUGAAGUAUACGCUGAGCGAGGCGGGGCUGUGUAUUGUGGCACUGGAGAUCUUUAUGCAGGGGAUCGGCACGGAGCUUGGUGCCCUGCAGCCGCUGUUCAGCUGAGACGUGUUCGCCUCCCUGCCAGACGCAGCUAAGCUGCGCGCUUCCCUUCACCGAUGCCCUGCACUACAUGCGAUGUGUGCCAUCCUCGGCAAGGCAACUGCGGCGCUGUAGAGGGUGGCCGCAGCAUGACAGCCGCGUCUGGCACGCUCUGUCGCAGCACCACACGCAUCUUCCCCGGCCGGUCGCGCACUUCGUGGCUGCCGAUCCGACCAGCGGAGGCGACUUCAAUGAGCGGGCGCAGGUGUACCUCUGACGUAGCGUCUGAAGCAGGCGCAAGACAAGACGGCUGCCGGCGCUGGGGGCGCGGUGGCUGCGGCGGCGCAGUUCCAGCCGGCAGAGCAUCCCCCCUCCGCGGCAAGGGGAGUUCGAAAACGUGUAGCACCGCCGAUGUCGGCGACCCCCCUCCCCCUUCCCCCCGUCCCACAGCCGGCUACGCUGAGUGCUCCCCACCCGCGGCCCAAGCGAGGGGCAGAAGGGUGACGCUCUAGUGGGUGUUGCAGCGUCUCCGUCAACGCCGCUCACGCUGGAUGGCACACACGACGUGCCGCGGCGGAGCUCAUUCCCGUGUGCACCGGAGAGGCUGCGUCGAUGCCUUGCCAACCUCAAGAUCUGCGCGUACUUCGCCACGCGUCGGGAGCGGAACGCGCCGCACUGACGCGUAUUGCGUGACCCGGCUCUUUUUUGUGCUGUGUACCGCCGCUGCCCCACCACCGCAACCUCCGUUAACCGCGGCGCUUGCCCAGAGAGCUCUGCUUCAGCUUUUACCUGUGUCGCGGCCGCCGAGCGCAGAGGGACAGCAAGGUUGCGGUAGGCUUCGGCUACGGUAGUGGUGUGGAGCAGAGGGCCUUCGGCGGCGGCAGCGGCACCCUCACCGGUUGAGCGGCUCACUGUGCGAGAUGCGGAGGGACGCUGGGCUGUCGCCAUCAAGCUGACACAUGUCGUUUUCCACGUCUUGGGCAGCGAGACGGCAUCAGCCGGUCGACGCCCGCAGAGGACUUCGACGGCGCGCUAGCGGGUUGCCGACCGUGCAACACGUUGCACCCCAGCUGCGAUGCCGAGGACGACCUCAGAGGAAGGGCAGCGUGGCGUUUUCCUUCCUACGCAGGAUCUCGUCCUCUAGUGCAGUGGGGCCACCAACGGAGAGCUUGCCAUGGGGUCCAGCGGCGCACGCACCUGCGCAGCCGUCGACGAAGGCGUCGCUGGGCGCGCCGCGGGCGAGACACCCCUUUCUCCCAAGCAGCUGCGGAGGAAGAUGAUGCGGCGCCGUUGCAGCGCCGCAUGCGUCGUGUGGAGGGAAAGGGGGGGGGGGCUGCACUCCCGCGUGGUGGUACGUCGUUGCCUUCUUCCUGGGCUAGACGCGGCGCCUUGUGCAGGUGUGGAAUAACAGCGGAGGUGGUCGCAGCGUCGCCGUGGGGCCGAACUCCGCCAUCGUCCGGCACGCGAGGGGGAGUGGACGCUCCUCGCGUCGCCACCGGCGCCGCGUGCUUUGAGGACGAGUUUUGGGACGCUCGACGGCGCCAGCGUGGGGAGGGGUCUCGCCCCCGUCGACGUUCGCGUGCGACGCAAGACGUUGGUAGCCUUCUGCAACGUGGAGGUGCGGUACAACGAGACAGCGUGAUGGGGUGGACGCAUGUGGGCUGGAUGAUAUGCAGGUGCGGAUGCCGUGCCCGGCGUGCUCGUCGCUCUUGUCGCCCUCUUUCUCUCUUCUCUCCCUUUAGUCUCAGCGACCCUGUGCUGCGCGUGCUCCCCUUCUCGACGUGGCGAAGACGGCGCGCAUGCCAGGCCCGCAUCACCACCGCUCCUUCUCCGCCACUAUCACGGCGAUCCGUCGAGGCAGAGGGAGGGGUGAGGGGGGCCGUCAGCUGUUGCCCCGUCUCUUCUCGAGUGUGUACGAGCGGCGCUCCUGCGCACGCAUGGUUGAGGGAUGCCGUGUAUGGUAACUCGAGGCUCUCUCUAUACAUUCUCUGCACGCGCUCUGCAGCGCUUGCUCCAGCCUCUUUCUUUCUCUUCCGCGUCGUGCUCCCUCCGCGCUUCCGUUUCGACGUGUGUUGGCGUGCUCGACGACGACGACGACGUCACCUCGCUGUGCCCGCAGUUCUUUGCGCCCGUGCCCCGCUGAGGUGGAACGCGUACACCUUCCCCACCCCGGCCUCGCCUCUCACGAGAGACGCACGUGCGAGGUUGCACACCCAUCUGCGUCCCAUGCACGCUGCACAGCAGCUCUCCACGUCACACGAGUCGCGUCUGAAUCCCCUCCUCAAUCAUCGAGGCGGCAACAGACUGACACGCACCUGGCUGCGUGGGUGCCGCCAUUGAACCGACCUUCCACCUUCAUCUUCAGGAGCGCCCCCCUCUCUCGUUGUCGCCACUACCCGCGCUCGGGCUCAUCGGCUUUUCGUCUCUCCGUGGGCGGUGCUGCGCUGCGCAUCGACCGUGGCUGCUUUCAUCUGUGCCCUGCCCGUCUCUCUGUCUGUCUACGUGUGCAUGUGUGUUUGCAGUUGUUUCGUACGGUGACGUGUAUUGCAUGGUGAAAGCGUGCUGUGAGCAGUGAGGGCUGAUCGCUAACUCUCCCGCCUUCCUCAGCCGGCAGGCGAGUGCGCGCCUCUCCCGGCGGCGGAGGGGGCGGGGGACGUUCCGCUGCUUACGACAUUUUGCUUGUGCGCAUGUCUCUGAGCACAGCAAUUGCGGCGUGAUCGGGAGGGGCGGCGGCUUUCAUUGUGUCCCGUGCAGGCGCGCAAUCCAGCGUUCCGGCUGUUAGCGUUUCCUCUCGUUUACGCUAUCUCUGAGAAGGCCCUCCAGUGAUACCAUGGACCCCUUCUCUUUCUCUCUCGUUGCUUCCGCUGUUCGUGCCCUCCGAGCAAGUCUCCUCGCCCACCCGGGACCCCACCCCCUUUUCACGUCUCUCCACCCCCGUGAGACCGGAAGGCUGCGGAGCGCCGGUUGGCUCAGCGCUCCCAUCCGUGCACGCCAGCACAGGCGUAUGCGCGUAUUGAUGCUCUUGUACGCUAAGCGACGCGCUUCCAUGUCUGCCGGUGUGGCCCCUCGGUGCGUCGGCGGCCCGACCGCCUCCCCCC
rnacentral:misc_RNA from 1 species